rnacentral:rRNA from 1 species
CAGUGGCGUAUGUUAAUUUUGCUGCAGUUGAAAAGCUCGUAGUUGGUGUAAUAGGUGUUUUUUUUUUAGGUUUUGUGGAGGUCCGUGUGGUUGUAGUUUUGGUGUUGCGUUUCUUCGGAGAUGCCCCCUCGACCCGUGAGUAUCCUUUUAUCCACAGCCCACCGAGUCGUGAUUUUGUCUUUCUCUCUCGAGUUUGACCGAAAUCACCCCACACUGUGAACAAAGUAGAGUGUUCCAAGCAGGCCGUAACGGGCCGGGAUAUUUCAGCAUGGAAUGGAGACUGGACUGAUGGUCGAGUCGCUGUGUGUAUGUAGCCGAGUGUCAGUAAUUGAUGAUAGGAACGGGAGCGGGGGUGCUCGUACGCGACGUCUACCGGUGAAAUGGAUUGACACGUUGCAGACGAACUAGUGCGAAAGCAUUCACCAAGUACGUGUCCUUUAA